rnacentral:rRNA from 1 species
GUGAACGCUGGCGGUAGGCCUAACACAUGCAAGUCGAACGGCAGCACAGUAAGAGCUUGCUCUUACGGGUGGCGAGUGGCGGACGGGUGAGGAAUACAUCGGAAUCUACUUUUUCGUGGGGGAUAACGUAGGGAAAUUUACGCUAAUACCGCAUACGACCUACGGGUGAAAGCAGGGGAUCUUCGGACCUUGCGCGAUUGAAUGAGCCGAUGUCGGAUUAGCUAGUUGGCGGGGUAAAGGCCCACCAAGGCGACGAUCCGUAGCUGGUCUGAGAGGAUGAUCAGCCACACUGGAACUGAGACACGGUCCAGACUCCUACGGGAGGCAGCAGUGGGGAAUAUUGGACAAUGGGCGCAAGCCUGAUCCAGCCAUACCGCGUGGGUGAAGAAGGCCUUCGGGUUGUAAAGCCCUUUUGUUGGGAAAGAAAAGCAGCAGGUUAAUACCCCGUUGUUCUGACGGUACCCAAAGAAUAAGCACCGGCUAACUUCGUG